rnacentral:rRNA from 1 species
GAUGAACGCUAGCGGCAGGCCUAACACAUGCAAGUCGAGGGAGAAGCCCUUCGGGGCAGAAACCGGCGCACGGGUGCGUAACGCGUAUGCAACCUACCUUUCACAGGGGGAUAGCCCGAAGAAAUUUGGAUUAAUACCCCAUAAUAUUAUUGGAUGGCAUCAUUUGAUAAUUAAAAUUACGAUGGUGAAAGAUGGGCAUGCGUCCUAUUAGCUAGUUGGAGUGGUAACGGCACCCCAAGGCUACGAUAGGUAGGGGUCCUGAGAGGGAGAUCCCCCACACUGGUACUGAGACAGGGACCAGACUCCUACGGGAGGCAGCAGUGAGGAAUAUUGGUCAAUGGUCGGAAGACUGAACCAGCCAUGCCGCGUGCAGGAAGAAUGCCUUAUGGGUUGUAAACUGCUUUUAUAUGGGAAGAAUAAGGAGUACGCGUACUUNGANGACGGU